UAUCUUAUUAUUCUUGGAAUAAUUUUUUCGUAUACAGCAGUUGCCUAGUUAAAAUUAUUAAAGUCCAUAGGAAUAUAGUUAAUUAAUAAAUCAGAAUUCUUUUCUUAUCUAGCCACAAGAGUUUCCUAAAGAUGCUUAGAAAAACAUUAUACAAGACUAUCUAAAAUUUGUCAAUCAUAUUUGUACAACGAGAUAUCUGAUAUAUUACACAUUAUAAUUAAUAUACUCAUCUUUCUGAUAAUAAAAGUUACGUAAUUCCAAGAGCUUUUUUUUCGUCGCUUGAUUAAAAAAAAAUUGUUCGCUCUCUGCGAAAGGCCUUUUUUUUUUUUUUUUUUUUUUUUUUUUUCGUAAAGCAUGCCAAUUUCAUUAUCUUGGCCAACUGACAGAUAUUAUUAUGUAAACAGAAUCUGAAACAUACAAUUAUUAAAUAAAAAAUUAAGUAUAAAUGUCAAAAGUAUCUAUCGUGUUUAUAAUACAUUUACCUUUCUGCAUUUUGAAGUCGGACUUUCAUUGCCCCAAAAUAAUCGUAUAAAACGAAAUCAGAUGAUAUUGAGGGAGACGUGCAUUGAAAACUUUCAGCUACGUUUUAUUUAUAUUGCUUCGAUCUUUUUCAGGUAAUGAUAUUAAUGUCAAAAAUUUUGAAGGAAAAAUAUAUGAAAAAUAUAAAAUAUUUGGAGAGAUAUUUAAUUACUAACUGACCUUCUACCGCUAGCACUAAUGGAACCACGAUGGAUAGGACCUUCAGCUUUUAUGAUAACACCUUGUGCAAUUCCAUAAUGCUCAAAAACAUCUUUGCCAGAUACAAAGGUAUUGAUAUUUGAAGUUGGUUGCUUUGAUUUUGUGGAUGGAAUUUUUUCCAUUGAAUGUGAAGGCAAAACUUCUGGAGGUAACGAAGUAUUGCUGACACUUUGCAAAGCAUUUAAGCUUUGCAUCACUAAAUGAGAUGCAAUAGGUUUAGUCAAUGGAUUCGUUGCUUGUAUAUUUAAUUUCUCUUUCUUUUCGGUCGAUAGAACAUCUUUCUGAAGAUCCGAAGAUGUCAAAGAAUUAGGUGCCUCUGUUACUUUCUUCACAAUAUCAUUAACAACUUUUUCAGUUGUAAAUGGGACCUUUUGAAUUGUAGUUUUCUCUAUUUUGUUAUCAGAUAAGGGUAACCUUUCUGAUUGCGUUGUAAUCAAUGUACUAACAGAUUGACUUCUUUUUGUCGCUUCGUUCAUUUCAUUCGAAUGCGUUAACGUAUCCGAGAAAGGCGUUGUUUGUGCACGAUGCUUCCUUGUUGGAAUUUGAGGACUUUCAACGUGAGCCUUUCCAUUGACAGCACUGUUUCUAGGUAUUGAAUAGGUUCGUUCUACCAUAACAUCAAUUGACGAACCAUUGCUACCGUAAUUACCACUGGUUGUUGGGACAGAGCUGUCCCUCGAAGUAUUACCAUUAUCUUUCAGAGAAUCAUCAAUGAUACGAUCAUUGACGUUAGUCAACGUGGACAUUGUAUUAUCGAUAGUUGAAUCACUUUUUAAUCCUAUCUUAUUUCCAUUAAUAGCCUGUGCAGUAUUAAAGUCUAUGGUCUCAGUAUUUUGUUUUUCUUUUUUGAUAAUUCCUAGACUAGGAUCGCCAUUAGGGAAACUAGCAAAUCGUGCAAUGGUUUCUCGUUCUUCAGCUACUUGUGGAGCAAACGGUAUCUUUCUUUCAACUGGUUUCACCGAAGGACGCCUCUUUUUUAUCAUUUCUGAUCGUCUCUUUCUUCUUUUAGUCUCAGACGUUUCCUUCCUUGGUGGAUGCAUUUCUGGAAAAUGUCUACCUCUCAUAGACACUGGUUCCUUAUCCUCUAAUUCCUGUAAAUCAAUACAUUCGUUAAUAUCUGACUCAUCUUCUUCGUUCUCUUCUACGAUAGCGCUAGCUUCUAUCCAUUCUCUGAUACGGUCCUUCUUUUUCGCUCGAUCAACAGUCGUUUCAAUUCCGUAAGUAGUCAGCGUAUAAAGGAGUUGAUUUUUUUCUUCCAAAGAACUGUGAAAACUGUACAUGGAUGGACAAAGUUCAUCCCUUUCAUCUGCUCCACCUGAAAUAAAUAAAAUUAAUUUAUUAUACUUUGUUGAGAUAUCCAAGAAUUUUCAACAUAUUUCGUACCAUUCAAUGCCUUUUCCGCACCCAAUUUAGCUAACCAUCUGUCUUCCAAAUAUUUAUUAACUUCCAGUACGCUAACAAGUCUUUUUUCCGCCUUAGGAUCUAACAGCCUCUUAAAUAUUCUAUAUCGUAUAAAUACAUAUUAUUAAAAAUAAUUUCGCCUAUAUUUAUCAAUAUAUUAAAAUAUGUUAAUAUUUAAUUAUUUGUUAUACAUUGAAAGUCACAAUACUCAUUUCGAUAAACAUGGUUCAAAUAGUAUUAAUUUGAACGUUUGCCAAUUCAAAAAUAAAAUGUCAGAAAAAUCCAUUAACUGAUUUGUUUGCAUAAUUUUAACAUUAUUUGUUACAUACAUACGUGCAUCGUUAGAAGAAAAUAAUUUUUAAAUAAACAAAAAUUAUCGAUAUAUUUGAAAUUUUAAAAAGUAGUAAGGUAUCAGCAAUUUAGAUUGAUACACGUGGUCAUGCGCACAAAAUGUCAAGAUAUUUACCUCUGUGCCCGUGAGCUGAUCAGCUGAAAUAAUUUCGGUUUCUUGGCGAUGUUAAGCGUCGCAUUGUGCCAGUUUAGAUAUCUUGUGUACCGUGGGUCGUCCAAUGCUGCUUUCUGCCAUGGUAGGCAUCCGGUCAGGCAAACAAAUAGGACAAUGCCGAAUUGCCAAACGUCAUGAGAUGUCAGAGCUCUGAAAAUUGUUGUAAAUUAAUAGUCAAUUGAUAUUGAUUACAGAAACUGUCAAUUAAUCUUAUUAAUCAUCGUUAAAGACAAUUGAACCUUUUAAUUGUCAAGAAUUGGCCGAGGUACAGUGAUUUUAAAUAGAUCUAUUGAAUGACUCAAGUGCAGUGUAGUGUUGUUGACGAGAAUAAUCAAUCGGUUUCAUCGGUGUUGAUCUGUAGUACCUCGGGCGGUGAAUAAGGAAGCCACUCGUUGUGUCUUCGUACGAUAGUAUUAACGCGUCUGGUUUCCCCGAAGUCACAAAGCUUUAUACGCGAGAAGUCGCUUCGAAAGACGAGUAUAUUGUCCAACUUGAUAUCUCUAUGAACAAGCUCGCGACUGUGAAUAUGAUGAACAGCGGCUGCCAGCUGUCUUGCCACUCGCUUUGCAUGUAAUUCACCUAAACCAGUUUCUGUUACGUUUGACGUUAAAUCACCUAGAAAUAUGCAUUGUCUGUUAUCAGUUAUUCAUUCGUUUGCUUGCUUGAAUAUUAACAUAAUUAUGUAAAUCGUUUUAAACGAUAAGUGUAUUUAGUAUAUUUUUAUGGAUAUUUUUAUACACAUUAUAGAAUCACGACUAUUUAUCUUUAAUGGUUAAAUUAACUUGAAAAACAUCUUGAGAUUAUUAUCCUCCUUCCUCCGCCCCUUUUAUGGUAUUUAUUUGAUUGUGUUGCGUCAAACGUACUGACGGAAUACAAAUCGAAUGUAUAAGUAUAUUCUCUCACUCGAUCAAAAAUCUUCGAGACAAGUAGUGCGCGAUCAUUAAACAAACAUGCCAGAUAUAUAUGAGAACAUAAAUCAUUGAUCUUACCUAGCGGUGCGUAUUCCUGGCUGAAAACGUAAAAGCCAGCGGUCUCGAAAGCAACAUCGUACGUGGUUAUAAUAUUACGAUGAGCUGCUAGAUGUAAGCCAUAAUGGAAUUCGCGAAAAAAGUCCGAUAAACCAGUAUAUGCCUUUGGUAGAGCUUUCAAGACCAUUUCAGUUUGCGUGCUGCGAUGCUCGGUCAAAAGAAUUUUUCCGAACCAUCCCUCACCGACGAUUUGAAGUAUAUCGAACUCGUCAAUUAAGUUAACCUGAGGUAUGAAAAAUUUUUGAAUAAUAUCAUCCGUAUGGCUCGUAUCCAAGUCACGAUUAAAUCGGCCAUCGUUGGCCGACAAUAUGCGAGCAGGUGCGGGCUUCAUGAUCUUUUUCGAUACGAGAAGAUCCCUAGCGAGACGAUCUCAAAGCGAUCACUGUACGUUGAACGCGUGGAUCAUCAUCCGUAGACUACUCGCACGUAUCGUCUCUAUUUUUAAUUCGACGCAUGCUAACGUAGGCACCAAACGAAGAUCACGUUUUUGUGUCACAAAACGAGGGUUCGCUCCAUGGUAAAAAUGUCUUAGUGUACCUUAUUUUAUUUCAGAGUUAAGAUAAAACGUGCAAUGGAAAAAGUUGACUUAUUCAUAAAACAAUUUAAGAAACUUUUUAUAAAUGUAAUAGAUCGUGAGAUAAGAUUCAUAAAAAAUUAAACUUUCAGUCUGUCGUCUAUAUAAAAAGAUUAAUAUUUUAUAAUUUAUAAUUGAUAAUAAAAUAUUAAAAAUUCGAUAAUGUUAACGUCGGAAAUCAAACGUGAGAUCACGUGACAUAUGUUACACAAGUCGUUUACAAAUGCAAUCAUGUAUUCCCAGUUCAAUGUCUCGACUGUGAACAUGAUAGACAUGAAAUUGACAUAAUUCGAGAAUAUGUCUUAACUAUAUCUGUAUUAAAUCAUUAUGAUAUACAGGCGAUCGUGUGGCGUCAUCUUUUCGAGAGCGUCAAGUAGCAGUUAUUAAGAAAGGAAACUGGUUUAAUGCCAGGAACAAGGAGAUUGCUCGUAAUUUCAACGAAUGAUGCAACUGGAUGCCUUUCUUCAUUUCCGCGAGGAGAUUCAAGCGGCGCAAAGAAGCAGAAGAAGAAGAAGAAGAAGAAGAUGACGAAGAAAAAAAGGAAAAGGUGUAAGCGAGCCUUUCGUCGCGUGUGAGAACGACUUGAACGGCGUUUAAGCGAGGAGCCUUUACGACGACGAGAGCUAUGAAUUACUUAUCUAAGAUGUGUUGGUAUUCUAAUAUACAGGGUGUCUCGUUAUUUCGUAUACUUUAUUUGAAAAAUUUUUUUUUCAUUCCACCGACGAGGAUCGAAGUGUUCAGACGUAUGUAUUAAAUUCGAAUAAUUUCAUGAAAACAAUUCGAUCAACUAGAUAUAAAGAAAAAGAACAAAUAUACCAAUUUGAAAUGGCUAAGAAUUCUUUUAAUGAGAAUUCACCGAGUACGUUCAUGCAGAAUUUUAUUUACUCCUUCCACCUACAGGAUAUCAUCUUGCGAAGAAGACGGGCGAUGCUAAGACGCUCUGAAUAUAGUUUUAUGAGUAGGAAAGUAAAAUAGCUUCGUGCGUAUGCGUGUUUAUGUGUUGCAUGCAUGUGCAGCUGACGCUCAACGUCAAACGCAACUAAUGCGCUCCUUGAUCUCGCGGCCUGUGUCGCGCGCACAGCUCUCGCCAAUUUUAAAGCCCUUUGAUUUACCGCUCGGAAUGGAAAUGCAGUAGUACCCUCUUCCCCCUUCUAUUCCCCCACCGGCCCAUCUCUGUUUCUCUAACCACCAUUGCUCGCGAGUGACCUGUUUUUCCUCCGUCCUGAAGGAUCAUCCAAGCGAAAUCCUACGAUUCCGACAGAGAAUUCGCGGAAUUCACGGAAUAAUAUGUGAUAUUCUCUGCUAAACGUCACUUGGACACGAUAUCUUAAAUAUUUAAAGAACAGAAAGAGCCAUUCCCAACGGUGAAAUAUUUUUGCGUGAUGCAAGACGAUUUG